rnacentral:pre_miRNA from 11 species
ACAGACAGACCUUUGUGCUGAUCUACAGUCCGUUUUGCAGGUUUGCAUCCCAGCUUGCUGUCCGUCGCUGUGCAAAUCCAUGCAAAACUGACUGUGGUGGUAGUUGUGAGCGGUAAAGGAU